rnacentral:rRNA from 1 species
UACGAAGGGGGCUAGCGUUGUUCGGAAUUCCUGGGCGUAAAGAGCGUGUAGGCGGCCAUACAGGUCAGCUGUGAAAACUCGAGGCUCAACCUCGAGACGUCGGUUGAAACCGUUUGGCUAGAGUCCGGAAGAGGAGAGUGGAAUUCCCGGUGUAGCGGUGAAAUGCGCAGAUAUCGGGAAGAACACCCGUGGCGAAGGCGGCUCUCUAGUACGGUACUGACGCUGAGACGCGAAAGCGUGGGGAGCGAACAGG